AGGACGAACGCUGGCGGCGUGCUUAACACAUGCAAGUCGAACGGAAAGGCCCUUUCGGGGGUACUCGAGUGGCGAACGGGUGAGUAACACGUGGGUGAUCUGCCCUGCACUUCGGGAUAAGCUUGGGAAACUGGGUCUAAUACCGGAUAGGACUACGAAUCGCAUGGUUUGUGGUGGAAAGCUUUUGCGGUGUGGGAUGGGCCCGCGGCCUAUCAGCUUGUUGGUGGGGUGAUGGCCUACCAAGGCGACGACGGGUAGCCGGCCUGAGAGGGCGACCGGCCACACUGGGACUGAGACACGGCCCAGACUCCUACGGGAGGCAGCAGUGGGGAAUAUUGCGCAAUGGGCGAAAGCCUGACGCAGCGACGCCGCGUGGGGAUGAAGGCCUUCGGUUGUAACCCUUCAGCAGGACGAAGCGAAGUGACGGUACCUGCAGAAGAAGCGCCGGCUAACUACGCGCCAGCAGCCGC
rnacentral:rRNA from 1 species